GUACUCACUUCAGUAGUACAUAUGCAAAAAUUGGAACAAUACAGAUAUUGUUAGCCUGGGCCCUGCCCAAGGGUAAUGUAAAUGUUUGUGAAGUAAUCCAUGUUAUG
rnacentral:snRNA from 1 species